AGUGAACGCUGGCGGCAGGCCUAACACAUGCAAGUCGAGCGGCAGCGGGUCCUUCGGGCUGCCGGCGAGCGGCGGACGGGUGAGGAAUGCGUCGGAAUCUGCCUUUUUGUGGGGGAUAACGUAGGGAAACUUACGCUAAUACCGCAUACGACCUACGGGUGAAAGUGGGGGACCGCAAGGCCUCACGCAGAAAGAUGAGCCGACGUCGGAUUAGCUAGUUGGCGGGGUAAAGGCCCACCAAGGCGACGAUCCGUAGCUGGUCUGAGAGGAUGAUCAGCCAGAAUGGAACGGAGAUACGGUCCAGACGCCUACGGGAGGCAGCAGUGGGGAAUAUUGGACAAUGGGCGCAAGCGUGAUCAAGACAUGCCGCGUGUGUGAAGAAGGCCUGCGGGUUGUAAAGCGGUUUUGUCAGGAAAGAAAUCCGAUCGGCUAAUACCCGGCGGGGAUGAAGGUACCGGAAGAAUAAGCACCGGCUAACUUCGUG
rnacentral:rRNA from 1 species